UACGUAGGGGGCGAGCGUUGUCCGGAAUGAUUGGGCGUAAAGGGCGCGCAGGCGGCCCGACAAGUCAGUAGUGGAAGUCCAUUUUUCAAGGGUGGAAGUGCUAUUGAAACUGUAGGGCUUGAGUGCGGGAGAGGUUAUCGGAAUUCCCGGUGUAGCGGUGAAAUGCGUAGAGAUCGGGAGGAACACCAGUGGCGAAGGCGGGUAACUGGACCGCAACUGACGCUGAGGCGCGAAAGUGUGGGGAGCAAACAGGAUUAGAUACCCUCGUAGUCC
rnacentral:rRNA from 1 species